AUGUACUACCUUGUGGAUUCCAGUUAUCCAAACCGGGUGGGAUAUCUAGCUCCUUACAAAGGCCAGACCUAUCACCUUCCAGAAUUUCGAGCGGGACGCCCACCAACUGGAAAGUUAGAGGUGUACAAUCAUGCUCACUCUUCUCUUCGGAAUGUGGUUGAGCGCACAUUUGGUGUUCUGAAGCAGAAAUGGCUCAUCCUAAGGGAUGUGCCCCAAUUCAAGAUGGGAAAUCAAACGAUGAUUAUCAGUGCUUGUAUGACGUCGCACAAUUACAUUAGGGACAGCAAGCUACGUGAUAAAGAGUUUGACAAAUGUGAUGAGAAUGAAAAUUACAUGCCCGCGGUGGCACGGGCAACACCAUUGCUUGGGGAUGUCGUUUUGACAUCCUCUGAUGAAGGCAAUAUGAACGACAUGCGUGACAGUAUUGCGACCUCUUUGUGGAUAGCACGACAAGCUAGGUAG
rnacentral:rRNA from 1 species